GACGAACGCUGGCGGCGUGCUUAACACAUGCAAGUCGAACGGACCGGCCCGGUUUUUGCCGGGGUGGGGCAGUGGGGAACGGGGGGGUAAAACGGUGGUAACCUGCCCUUCACUUCUGGAAAACCGCUGGAAAGGGGGGCUAAAACGGGGGGUUUUGAUUGUGCCGCAUGGUUUGGUGGGGAAAGAUGCACUUUCGGGGUGUUUUGGGGGGGGCUGGGCUCGCGGCCCUACGGCUUGUGGGUGGGGUGUUGGCCGGCCACGGCUUUGGCGGGUAGCCGGCGUGAGGGGGUGGGCGGUCACACUGGGUCUGAGACACGGCCCAGACUCCUGCGGGGCGCAGCAGUGGGGGGUAUUGCACAAUGGGCGGAAGCCUGAUGCAGCGGCGUCGCGUGAGGGAUGGAGGCCUUCGGGUUGUGAACCUCUUUCGCCGGUGAAGAAGGUCCUGCUCUUUGUGGUGGGGUUGACGGUAGCCGGGUUAUGAAGCGCCGGCUAACUACGUG
rnacentral:rRNA from 1 species